rnacentral:tRNA from 1 species
UUUAAUAUGGCAGAUUAGUGCAAAGGACUUAAACUCCUUUUAUAAAGAAUUUAUUCUUUUAUUAAAU